GCUGCUGCUGCUGUUGUUGUUGCUGCUGCUGUUGCUGCAGCAGCAGCAGAGAGAGGAGACAGAGGAUGUUGAAUCUCUUCUAAAGAUUCGAUACGAAGAGAACUUCGUCUUCUACCCCA
rnacentral:snoRNA from 1 species